GAUCAUGGCUCAGGAUGAACGCUGGCGGCGUGCUUAACACAUGCAAGUCGAACGAAGCACUUCAUAAAGCUUGCUUUAAGAAGUGACUUAGUGGCGGACGGGUGAGUAACGCGUGGGUAACCUGCCUUACACAGGGGGAUAGCAGUUAGAAAAUGACUGCUAAUACCGCAUAAAACAGCAGAGUCGCAUGACUCAACUGUCAAAGAAUUUAUCGGUGUAAGAAUGGACCCGCGU
rnacentral:rRNA from 1 species